GAUGAACGCUGGCGGCGUGCCUAAUACAUGCAAGUCGAGCGAACAGACGAGGAGCUUGCUCCUCUGACGUUAUCGGCGGACGGGUGAGUAACACGUGGAUAACCUACCUAUAAGACUGGGAUAACUUCGGGAAACCGGAGCUAAUACCGGAUAAUAUAUUGAACCUCAUUGUUCAAUAGUGAAAGACGGUUUUGCUGUCACUUAUAGAUGGAUCCGCCCCGCAUUAGCUAGUUGGUAAGGUAACGGCUUACCAAGGCAACGAUGCGUAGCCGACCUGAGAGGGUGAACGGCCACACUGGAACUGAGACACGGUCCAGACUCCGACGGGGGGCAGCAGUAGGGAAUCUUCCGCAAUGGGCGAAUGCCUGACGGAGCAACGCCGCGUGAGUGAUGAAGGUCUUCGGAUCGUAAAACUCUGUUAUUAGGGAAGAACAAAUGUGUAAGUAACUAUGCACGUCUUGACGGUACCUAAUCAGAAAGCCACGGCUAACUACGUG
rnacentral:rRNA from 1 species